rnacentral:rRNA from 1 species
UACGGAGGGUGCAAGCGUUGUCCGGAUUUAUUGGGUUUAAAGGGUGCGUAGGCGGCCCGUUAAGUCAGUGGUGAAAGCCUCCAGCUCAACUGGAGAACUGCCAUUGAUACUGGCGGGCUUGAGUACAGACGAGGUAGGCGGAAUUGAUUGUGUAGCGGUGAAAUGCAUAGAUACAAUCAAGAACACCGAUUGCGUAGGCAGCUUACUAGGCUGUAACCGACGCUGAGGCACGAAAGCGUGGGGAGCGAACAGG